rnacentral:rRNA from 1 species
UAACGGGCCGGCAGUACCUUGACUGUGCUAAGGUAGCAUAAUAACUUGGCCUUUAAUUUAGGUCUAGAAUGAACGGAUAUACAAAAAAAAAGCUGUCUUAUAAGAAUUAUGUAUAAUUUAAAGUAUAAGUGAAAAUGCUUAUAAGUAUCUUAUUAGACGAGAAGACCCUUAGAGUUUAAAAAAUUUUGUUGGGGCGACAGAGUUACAAUUAACUAACUUUAAAUUUAAAAAACACGACGAUUAAAUAAGAAAGAAUAAACUACCUAAGGGAUAACAGCAUAAUUUUAAAUUAGAUUAUGACCUCGAUGUUGGAUUAGGGUAAGKGCUGAUAAGCAAUUAGUAUUUUAGGUUCUGUUCGAACU